rnacentral:rRNA from 1 species
UUAUUUUAGCGGCGGACGGGUGAGUAACGUGUGGGCAACCUACCUUUUACUGUGGAAUAAUCGUUGGAAACGACGACUAAUACCGCAUACGAUUUUCUGAAGGCAUCUUUGGGAAAGGAAAGGAAAUAUUCGGUAAAAGAUGGGCCCGCAUCUGAUUAGCUAGUUGGUGAGAUAAUAGCCCACCAAGGCAACGAUCAGUAGCCGACCUGAGAGGGUGACCGGCCACAUUGGGACUGAGACACGGCCCAAACUCCUACGGGAGGCAGCAG